rnacentral:rRNA from 1 species
GACGGAGGGUGCAAGCGUUGUUCGGAUUGACUGGGCGUAAAGGGCGUGUAGGCGGUCGGCCAAGUCUGAUGUGAAAGCCCGAGGCUCAGCCUCGGAAGUGCGUCGGAAACUAGUCGGCUGGAGCGCGAUAGAGGAGGGUGGAAUUCCUGGUGUAGCGGUGAAAUGCGUAGAUAUUGGGAAGAACACCGGUGGCGAAGGCGGCGACCUGGUCCGAUACUGACGCUGAGGCGCGAAAGCGUGGGGAGCAAACAGG